AUACGGAGGGUGCGAGCGUUAAUCGGAAUUACUGGGCGUAAAGGGCGCGUAGGCGGAUUAUCAAGUCAGAGGUGAAAGCCCUGGGCUCAACCUGGGAACUGCAACCGAAACUUCAUGGCUCGAGUCCGGGAGAGGGUAGUGGAAUUCCCAGUGUAGCGGUGAAAUGCGUAGAUAUUGGGAGGAACACCAGUGGCGAAGGCGGCUACCUGGACCGGUACUGACGCUGAGGCGCGAAAGCGUGGGGAGCAAACAGGAUUAGAUACCCCAGUAGUCC
rnacentral:rRNA from 1 species